UAGGGCGCAAGCGUUAUCCGGAAUUAUUGGGCGUAAAGAGCUCGUAGGCGGUUUGUCGCGUCUGCCGUGAAAGUCCGGGGCUCAACUCCGGAUCUGCGGUGGGUACGGGCAGACUAGAGUGAUGUAGGGGAGACUGGAAUUCCUGGUGUAGCGGUGAAAUGCGCAGAUAUCAGGAGGAACACCGAUGGCGAAGGCAGGUCUCUGGGCAUUAACUGACGCUGAGGAGCGAAAGCAUGGGGAGCGAACAGGAUUAGAUACCCUGGUAGUCCAUGCCGUAAACGUUGGGCACUAGGUGCGGGGGACAUUCCACGUUUUCCGCGCCGUAGCUAACGCAUUAAGUGCCCCGCCUGGGGAGUACGGCCGCAAGGCUA
rnacentral:rRNA from 1 species